rnacentral:lncRNA from 1 species
AAAUUAGUUUUCAAAAAUAUUUUUUUAAAGAUCAAAUUAUAAAAAAAGAUUCCAAUAUUCUAAUUAGUGGUACUAAAAAGAUCCAAUUAUUUUAAAAUAGUAUUUACCAUUUACCAUGUAAACCGCUAGAGGAAUUUAUUUAAUUAAUUUAUUUAUUUUAUUCAGAUUUAUCUAUUCUUUUAAGCUCACCUUUCACCUUUGCCACCCCCCGCAAUUCCAUCAGACGCCACUGGGGGAGCGCGCCUCCUGUUCUGGAGUCAGUGAGGAGAAUUAUCAAAGCUCCGACCAAUCAGAACGCUCGGUUUCGCGUCUGGGAGUUGAGCGUUGUUGUUUUAGCUGUGUGUGUUUUUAAGAGACUGUGUCUGGCAUCUGACUGGAGCGAUGGCGAAAGAGGGCAAAGAAGGGAAGUCCAAACUGAAGAAAAACAAGGAGAAAGGCGCAAGCAAUGACCAUUCCAAUGGAGAUGUUCUAUGUGGGAAAUCCGAUAAGGCCAAGGCCAAAACCACAGAGAAGUCUCAGCUGGGACAGAAGGGGACAAAGCAGCAGAAGGUGAAAACAGAAGAGAGCACAGAGUUUGAAAUACCUGAAGACCCAAGGUUCCAGUUAAGUGUGAAGGAGGAGGCAGGUGAUAGUGACUUUGUAACAGAAAAGAAGGGGAAGAAAAGGAAAAGGAAGAGAGAGUCUGUUUCUGGUUCUUCUUCAGGACCUUCUGUGCCACAGAAGAAGAAGAGGGUGACAGAAGAGGACGAGGGAACCUCUGGUGCUGAAAAAAAGAAGACAAAAAAGAAAAAAGAAAAAGAGAAGGUAUGCUCCUCUACUCAGCAGGGUAGCAGUGUGUUAGAAAGAGACGAAGAGUCACGGACCGCUGAAU